CAUGCAAGUCGAACGAAGUAGCAAUACUUAGUGGCAGACGGGUGAGUAACAUGUAGGUAUCUGCCCUUUGGCCUGGAAUAACACGAGGAAACUUGUGCUAAUACCGGAUAAGUCUUCACGGAGAAAGCUUUAUGCACCAUUGGAUGAGCCUGCACUUGAUUAGUUUGUUGGUGGGGUAAUGGCCUACCAAGACUGUGAUCAAUAGCUGAUUUGAGAGGAUGAUCAGCCACAUUGGGACUGAGACACGGCCCAAACUCCUACGGGAGGCAGCAGUGGGGAAUCUUGCACAAUGGAGGAAACUCUGAUGCAGCGAUGCCGCGUGAGUGAAGAAGGCCUUUGGGUUGUAAAGCUCUUUCGUCGGGGAAGAAAAUGACUGUACCCGAAUAAGAAGGUCCGGCUAACUUCGUGCCAGCAGCCGCGGUAAUACGAAGGGACCUAGCGUAGUUCGGAAUUACUGGGCUUAAAGAGUUCGUAGGUGGUUGAAAAAGUUGGUGGUGAAAUCCCAGAGCUUAACUCUGGAACUGCCAUCAAAACUUUUCAGCUAGAGUAUGAUAGAGGAAAGCAGAAUUUCUAGUGUAGAGGUGAAAUUCGUAGAUAUUA
rnacentral:rRNA from 1 species